GUUGGGAAGAGGACGAAAAGAGGGUCCUAGAUCGUUGGGCAUGGGAACAUGGAGGAAAGCCUGGACUCUUCUUUGCCUCUAGAACUAGAGGCCGAGAUUCGGUUCAGAUGUUUUCCCGAUGCCUCCCAUGCCUAUUGUUCUCAGAUGCUCCUUCCUCUUCCUUUUGGCU
rnacentral:pre_miRNA from 1 species